UGCCAGCAGCCGCGGUAAUACGAAGGGGGCUAGCGUUGUUCGGAAUUACUGGGCGUAAAGAGCGUGUAGGCGGAUUGUCAAGUCAGAGGUGAAAGCCCAGGGCCCAACCCUGGAACUGCCUUUGAAACUGACAGUCUAGAAUCUCAGAGGGGGAGGCGGAAUUCCUAAUGUAGGGGUGAAAUCCGUAGAUAUUAGGAGGAACACCGGUGGCGAAGGCGGCCUCCUGGAUGAGUAUUGACGCUGAGACGCGAAAGCGUGGGUAGCGAACAGGAUUAGAUA
rnacentral:rRNA from 1 species